CCAGACUCCUACGGGAGGCAGCAGUGGGGAAUAUUGCACAAUGGGGGAAACCCUGAUGCAGCAACGCCGCGUGAGUGAAGAAGGUUUUCGGAUUGUAAAGCUCUGUUAGCAGGGAAGAGGAAGGACGGUACCUGCAGAGGAAGCCACGGCUAACUACGUGCCAGCAGCCGCGGUAAUACGUAGGUGGCAAGCGUUGUUCGGAAUAACUGGGCGUAAAGGAUGCGUAGGCGGUUAAACAAGUUAUAUGUUAAAUAUAUAGGCUUAACCUGUAGAAAGCAUAUAAAACUGUUUAACUAGAGUGCAGGAGAGGUAAGUGGAAUUCCUAGUGUAGCGGUGAAAUGCGUAGAGAUUAGGAAGAACACCAGUGGCGAAGGCGACUUACUGGACUGUAACUGACGCUGAGGCAUGAGAGCAUGGGGAGCAAACAGGAUUAGAUACCCCCGUA
rnacentral:rRNA from 1 species